rnacentral:lncRNA from 1 species
AACCUUCUAGAGUGCCAGAUGCCCCGUGAGCCAGGCCUCUGCUGACUCCUCCUCCUAGGCUCAUGGGGCUGCCCUGCCUGGCAUCAGAGGAGGUUGCAGCAAUGCUCUCGAGGAGGAAAGGGAGGGGGUGGGAGUGGGAGUGGUCCAUGCCCGGUCCUCAGGACACACAGCCUUCCAGGAAUUCUCCCAGGUGUGGGCGAGCCCAAGUGGCACAAUCGCUCACUGUGCUUUGACGUAAAAACCACAGAGCUCACCCAUGCCCAGGAAUGAGUCAUCGGUUCCCACAUACAUUUCUGCAUGACAUUUUUCUCCAAUACACGGAACUCUGACCACCUCUGACACUGCUUCUGACGCUUUGAAACGCCAUGUCCCAUUGCGCCUCUGUUCCAAAGAUCAGAGCGGGGCAGCUGGGGAAACCCAGGGCUGAGGGGCCGGUCCUGACAACUCGGCCACCUGCGGCGUCCCGGGCUCGGUCAGGGCCCUCACCGCCUGGAGACAGAGCCGGGAGGGCAAGGCUCAGGCUGCUGCGUCUCGGCUCUGAGGCUCUGCAUAGAUUCCAUUUGGGAAGAGGCUCUGUGCCACAAAUAGAAGAGGACGGCUCCUGGGCCAGAUCGUCCCUAAGACCCACGCUGGCUCCCCGCUCCUGGGGCUCACUCAUUCACUCCACAAAUGUCACUCGGAUGCCAGGAGCUCGGCCAGGCACGGAGGAUCCAGUGGUGAAUAAAAGUUAUGGUCUCUGUCCUCUUGGAUGUCAAAACCAACAUAAAAGACAAAAAGCAAGAAAACAACGAAUAAAAUAAUUGCACGCUCUGCUGGGUACCAUGAAGGGAAUCAACACGGCCUUGAGAUCCAGAGUAACCUGAGGGCUUCUCUAAGGAGAAGGCUAAGCUGAGCCCUGGAGGAUGAAAAUGAACCAGACUUGUCAAGAACCAGAGGAAGAGCAUUCCAGGUGUAGGGAACUGUAAGCGCAAAGGCCCUGGGGCAGGAAAGAGGUUAACUUCCACUGUGCCUGUGGCAGAGGGAGGGAGAAGCAGCCCUAAGGACUGAGUUUAUUCUGAGUGCAAAGUCAUUGAAGAGUUUUAAGCAAGGAUGAGACAUUAACUGUUUACAUUUAAAAGUUGGCUUUUCUGCCUAGAGGAGAAUGCCUUGCAAGGGGUGAGGAGAUCCAUUAGGAAGCUGCUGCAGGAGGGAAAGACAUUGGGGCGGGGUGGCUGGGGAGAGAGGAGAGUGGACGUGUGAGCCAGAGCUGGUUGGGUUUGCCGAAGGACUGCUUGGUGGGGCAGGGGUGAGAAUCAGAUGUCCUGAAGGGGUGAAGCAGACCCCGUGUGCCCACCUGGAUGGGUGCCCAUUCCUCCACCCUCAGCCCCUGGAGUACUUCUCUGUGCUCUGUGCCACCAGCCAUGCUGGUUUCUCUGUGUUCGACACUCAGAGCUCCUUCCUGCCUGGGGACCGUCCCUCUGCCUGGGACCCUGCCCUCUUACCCAACGUGGUUGGUAACUUCUUGUCCUUUUGAGCUCAGCUCAGCCAUCUGCUCCCCUAGCCAGCCAGCCUUCAACAUCCACCCUGUACCCCUACCCAGCCACCUCCCCCCUCCAAGGCACUCUGUCGCAUCGCCCUAUUUUACGUUCUUUCCUUUCGCUUUCUGAGAGGACCUUGUCCAUCUGUCUGCUUCUUUUCCCGUCUGCCUCCGCUAGAACGUGGGUCGCGAGGGCGGCGGUGCCCGGUCCGUCUCCUUCGGCUCCUCCCACGGGCAGGGGUGGGUGGGCGAGGCCCUGCAGCGCUACAUCUGCCCACAAGAGGGCGCACGGAACUUUCCUUUUCAGUUUCUGGCUGGAAAAGCUGGGGAGCAAAACAAAUAGAAGCCUGGUUGAAAUUUCGCAGUUUACCUGGUAUGUGUAGUAUUUGCACAUACUGUCAUGUUUCGUGGUCUUUUAUGUCCCUGAGACUUGAAAAGUGUCUUUCUGUGGGACUUUGAGAAGUCACCUUGGGACGGGGUGGGGGGACUGACGAGGACGCUGUCUCCCUCCCACGCCUCUUCCCCCUCUGCUGUGCUUACACCGACUUGUGCUCGAGAGAACCUGUGCUUACGUCUCCAGCGACUGCAGCCAGAGACGGAUGGUCUUCAGACACAUGGGACAUAAAUGGACAUUUCCUUGAUCAAAAGUCUGCAUUUGGCAAUGCCCAAGAGGCUUCCCAGUCAACUGGGUAACUCUAAGAAGAUGUCAGUCCAGCGUUGGAGGCUGGGGAGGGCCUAACGUAACACGGGAGCAGAACGUGCUGGUUGGUUACGAUCGUUGCUGUAACGGGGGUGGCUGUGGAGGAGAGCAAGUCCUAGGCCGCCUCAGAGGCGUGCGUGUGAGCCCCGUUUUGAAGCCUAGUUCUGUCCAUUUCUAGCUGAAUGAUGAUGGCCCUGAGCCUGUCUCCCCUGUGAGGAUGACAGAGCUCUGUGGACAUGAAAGGUGCAGGUGAUGGGGUAGCAUGGGACAUGAUUAUAGCGGCUGCCACACGGUCAUGUUUGAGACCCCCUCCCACUUGGACCAUGUUUGAAACCACACCCCCCCCCACUUUCCUCCCACCAUGAAAGACGGACUCGUGUGGAGUUGAGAGGGGACCUGAGGGAUGUUUGGUUGUGUCACUUAAAAAAGGAGGAGGGUGAGAAGUAGGAACUGGGAACUGGGGACAGAAGCCAGGGAGCCCCAGAGCUAGGAGAAGUAGCAGGAGAAGGGCUGGGCCAGGCAGAGGGAUGAUUCUGGAAACGUGUUUCUGAUAAUGUUCCCUGCUGUUGGCACAUGGCAGGUACGGGCAGGUCGCAUUUAAAGGCCGGGGAUGGGGUGGACAAGUUCCAAAUUUCUUUCCAACAGAAAGUGUGUUGGCUUUAAUAUAGGAAGCUACGGACACGUAUUCAUCAUUAGUAGGCACUUUGAUACUUUUUCAAAUCUGCCUGGUCAUUUUUACAGUCUCUUGCUCUUGACUCCUUUUUAUUCCCUCUUUUAUUUCUUUGAACAUAUUUAACAAUUGUUUUACAGUCUAAAUCCCAAUGUCUGAAGUCUUUGUGGGCCUGAUCGUAUGGUGCGCUGUUUCGGCCGCUCUCGCUCGUGGUGAUGUGUUCCCCUUACGCGCCGAGGUUUUGACUAUGAGCCUCCACAGUGGGGAAUCCUGCGAUAAUUCUACACGGCCUGGGGUGAGGCACGAUCCUGCCAGGAGCAUCUGUGAUUGCUUCGGCCAGGCAUCAGGACAUACUCAUGCCAGACCGGGUCCACUCUAAAUUCACACGACCAUCUUGGGGGUUUAAGAGCGUGCUACCAGUGUCAUUUCAGACUCCCACAUCAUGCAAGGGUCAGCCAGUAGCUCGCAAAUCUCAGGGGACUUUUUUCUCCCCAAUUACCCCAAAUCAAGGCUGACACAGACACUUUUCCUUGUUUGUUUUUUUUUUAUUGAUCACCCUUUUCCUCAGGGUGUAGCCCUUCCUGAGUCCUGGCUUUAUGGGGACGGGCCUCCAGUUUGCCUCCCCGCCCUGCCUGAGUACAAGGAUUAGUGCUGUGUCACCCUCCCAUUGCUAGCACAAUUCUAUGCACAAGAGCUCUGGGCCACAGGACUGUGUCGAAUCCCCCAGAAUAUGUGACCAUUUCUUCUCACGUAUCCACUUGGACUGGGGUCUGGCUUCACUCCUGGCCUUAGGUUCCCCUUCCUUGAAGCCUCUGCCAUUGAUUGAAAAGCAUGUUUUUAAAGAUUUUUUCUAACAUUUUGAUACGUUUCCCAGGCAGAGAGCCUCAGAGCAGCCUCAGCAUCACCUGGGAACUCGUCAGAGAUGCAGAAUUUCAGGCUCCACCGAGAGCCACAGAAUCUGAAUCAGCAUGUUUACAAGACCCCACGUGACUUCAGUAGGUUGAGAAGUGUGGCUUUGCUUUACCACGUCGUUACCCGAAACGGAAGAGGGAGAGGUGCUUUGGGAUUUUUUUGUUUGAGGUUUUUUUUUUUAACUUUUUUUAUUGAAGUAUAAUUGACAUGUAGCAUUACGUUAGUUUCAGGUGUACAACAUGAUGAUUCAAUAUUUGUGUAUAUUGAGAAAUGAUCACCACAAUAAGUCUAGUUAACAUCCAUCACUGCACAUAGGUACACAUUUUUUUUCUUGUGGUGAGGACUUUAAAUAUCUACUCUCAUAGCAACUUCCAAAUAUGCAAGACGGUGUUAUUAAUGACAGUCGCACGCUGUACGUGACCAGGAUAGCACUUCACCUGGAUACUCUAGUGUAGGGACAAAAGGAAACGGUUCCUUUCCCCUCCACCUGUUUCUCCCCGGGUCCAGUGGCUCAAAUGGAGAGAAAGGCUAGGAUUAGUAGUGACAUCUCUGUCAGCCACUGCCCUUCCCAGCCCCGCAGAGACCCUGAACUGGCAGACUCAGCCCUGGGCAGUUCCCAAGCUAGGCGUGACCCCCAGGGGGAGGGCUCAGGUCCCAGUGCUUCCUAGCCUGAGUUUUCUUCUCCCACCCGCUCCCUUCCUUACGCAGUCCCCAUCUACAUGACAGACCUUCUGCCUUAGUUUCCCUGCUCUGAACAGAAGCUGUAGCUGGCCCUGAACCCCAGCCCUGAUCCCAUCUACUCUCAGGAAGGGCCAGAACUUGUCACCAUACUUCUCUCUGCAGCCAGGAGCCUUCUCUCUGGAAACCCUCAGCUACCAGCCACUCAUGCCUUAGUGUAUUUAAAGAAACUUCGUAGGAGUCAGAGACACGACUAGACUCUUCUCUGGCCGGGAGUGCACCUGUCUGGUUACUGGUGCAGUUUUCAUCCGUGUGUAGAAGAUUCCCAUGGGUGUCCACAGCACAACAAAGACAAAGGACUUUGUCCCUCUAUAUUCAAGGGUCUAUUUCCCUGGGAAAGUGAGUGAACAAAGGAAGCAGUCCAGAGCCCAGUUUUAGGAACCAUAAAAUUAAAUAAGACUACUUUAAAUUCCAUGUAAUCAAAUGUCCAUUGUCCUGCUUGAGCCUGGUCUUGUGUGAACUCCAUCAUGUACUCAACAUCCCUGACCCUUUCAAUAUGGCUGCCCCUUAUUGAGCGCUCGCGCUGAGCCAGACGCUGGGCUCAGUGCUUGAUGGGCGUCAUCUUGUUUAAUCCCCACGACAUCCCUGUGCAGAGAUGAGAUGAGUGCGGCUCAGGGAUGCCUGUGCAGAGGUGAGAUGAUGAGACUUCGGUCACUCCCCUGUCCACAGUCACAGGGCUGGUAAAUGGUAGAGUUCGGAUUAGAACCCAGGGCUUUGACACAAAGCCCAUUCUCUUUCUGCUCCUCUGUGUGCAGCACCCAGCUAAGUGCCUGGAACAAAGCAGGCCCUCAAGAAAUGUUUUAAAAUGAAUGAAUGUUUCCAUGUACAGACUACUGUUUAUUGAAUGCCUCCCUUGUUAGUUCAAAUCCUAGCAACAAUCCGGAAAGGGGCUGAUGAUUCCUAUCUGUUUUAAAGAUAAGCACCCUAAGCUUCAGAGAAGUUAAGUAAAUUUCCCAAAGUCAUGGAGUCAAGGAGUCGUUGAGCUGCGAUUUGAAUUCAAGCCUUUCUUUCUGAUGCCUAAAGCCGUGCACUGUUGUCAGUCCCAUCCACCCCUCUAAAAUGGGGAAUUUAAUCUUGGGAAGGGAUGUCUCAGGAUUGACAUGUUACCAGUGGUGUUGGAGAGGGACGUAACUGUCCCUGUGCCUCCAGGGGACAGACCCUGGAGCAGUGAGUGAGAAUUAAAUGGAGGCAGAUGGUGGCUGGAGAUAUGGAACAACUUUUAGCAAGUGUCUGACAAAGUGAGGGAGUGAGCACCCCGUCACUAGGGGUGUUGGAUGGCUGUCUCUGAGAGGGCCCAAAGGUUGACGGAGGGUGACUUCCAAGUUCCCUUUGGCUCUGAGAGUCCCGCGGCGCUGUCAUUUUCUCGGUCAGCCCUGGAAACCCCUGGAGAGGAUGACUCAGAGCCAUCCCCUCUGAGCGGGGUAGUUCAGAAGAACACAAUGCUGCUUAUUCUAGCUUCUGGGAGGUAUUUGGAAAAGUCUUGGUUGACAAGGAAGUCAUUGGGGAAUUGACAACUCUCGGAUCAGCUUCUUUCUUCCUUUGCUGGCCGCACCCAGUCACCUUUCAUGGGGGCCCGGUUCUUUUGACACACACCAAGUAGAGAAUGUGACCUAGCAGGUUCCGAUCUUGGGACUCAGCUGGGAAAAAAUGGAAAUCUCAAAUAAAUGGAACCCAUUAUGAUUUACAAUUGAAUCUCAAAGGGCUGGUCCCCUAAAAUGCCCUCUUCCAACCAAAUAAUCUGAGCUCAGAGCUGUGAAUGCCCCGAACUGUCCUUCGAAGACAAGUCCCAAUGUGUAUUGUCCCCUACCUGCCAAGUGUGCCAAGUCGGUUUUCCUGAAGUCCACGGGCCUGGGACCUCUAGCCGCCUGCUUUAUCACACUGAAAAUCUUCUAAACUAUGAAUAGUAACAGUAACGACUUAUAUUUGUACAGAAGGUUGCAAUUGACUGAGUACUUCUAUGUCAUCCCCGUUCUAGCCUCCGAAGACCCCACGUGAGAGGUAAAGUGCAAAGUGUCAUCCCCAUUAUUCAGACCAGGAACACGAGGGUCUGAAGAUGGAGAGAUUCAGGGAUUUGAUCAAAGGCACAUAGUUUCCAGGGUGCAGAUCCAGGACCUGAAUCUACAUUUCUUGAUUCCAAAUUCAGCUACAGCUACUGACUGUGCUUUUGGGGGAGAUCCUUUGACUUCCUGCAUCAGUGCAGCCUCUGGGAAUAAAUAAUUUUAUAUGAGGAGAAGAGUUUAGUUUUCCUAAACUUGGAAGCGAAAAUGCUUCAGUGGAUCAUCUUAGGCUACAGCUGUCCCAGAUGCCCUCCAUGGCUCCUCUCUGGUAUCACAGCAGAAAAUCCUUUGGGGGCUCCAUUGUGGUUAUGAAAAUGUUCACGCCUCUUUUCACAAGAGAAGGCAGUGUUGUGUAGUGGCUGAGAGCAUGGGUUCAAGUUCUGCCUCCUGUUCAGCUGUGUGGCCUUGGACAAGUUAACUAACCUCCCUGAACCUCAAUUUUGCAUGGCCAACUUCUGGGGAUGUGGUCAUGAUCAAAGGAGAUAGAGUGCUGGAGAGCAUAGCACAGUGUUCAUUUCAUAGUAGAUGCUCCUGAAACACGGACUGCACAUGGGUAUAUAAAGCAAGGGCUGAAGGCCAAACACUCGCACUGCCAAGACUCAUUCUUCCAGCACAUACCAGGUGCUUGCUCCUUGGCUCCUUGAGGCAACCCUACAAGGCCGGUGUUAUUAUUCCCAUUUUACACACACGGAAACUGAGGCUUACUUGCCAGCUACUGUCUUCCAUGUGUGUCAGAGCUAGGAUUUGAACUCAGCUCUGUCUGACUCUGAUUCCAAUGCUCCACUGUGCGGCAGAAGGUCACUAGUAUGUAGAGAUUGGAUAGCGUGCAUUACUGAUCAGGAGUGGUGGCAGGAACCUCCAAAAUGGGGUGUCCAAGGACUGGCCCUCCAGAGCUGUCUCUGUCACACUUGCUCUGCAACUGUGAGCCAGGCACAUCAUCUCUCUGGGCCUCACUAGCUUCAUCUGUGGACCAAGGAGGUUGGACGAUAGUCUUGGAGACUCUUUCCGGCUCUGACCUGCUGCGACGCUCCUCAGAUUUCAGAAGGACUCCGGUACCUGAUCCUGCAAUGGAGGGAGCGUAACAGUGGGCCCUGAAUCUCAAAUCCGUUUUGCCUUUUGAAGCCAUGUGUUUCUGCGUGAAUUCAGAAUCUGCCAGAGGAAAACUCCCUAAUUAUCCUACGGGGACUAGCCCAGCCAGUAAUUACGCCUAUUAUUUUAAAUUGUAUUUUAUAAGAUGCCUUUCAUCCAAGAUCUCAAAGGGCUUCUCAAACAUUCAUUAGAGGAACCCCACCCCCUCCUGUGUGGAUAUGAAAGGCAGAGACUGAUUUUAAUAUCAGCAAGAAGAGGUCGGGGCAGAGAGAAGGGGACUGAGAUCCCAGGAGUAAUUUCACCUCUGAGUUCAAAGGAGAAAAGAAAGAAAUACGCCAGGGAAAUGUUCGCCUUCAGAAGGAGUUCAGGGGCUAUUCAGUGAAGAGCAGACGGAUCAGGAAAUGUUCCUCCUUGUCAAAAGGAGCCUACGAGAGGCACUCUCCUUCAGUGGGGCUCAGUUCAAUUUGGCUUGCUUCAUUUCACUCUAGAAUUAUCCACCAGUUGUCUUUGGAGCUGAUCUCCAGCUCACAGGCCUGUGCGAAGUGAUGUGAAAGGUGUAAGUGGAUCAAGGGUUUCAGAGAGCACUCAUUAUAGACUUGGGAACAUUAGUGUAAGCGGGAGGGCACAGGAACCUCCCAGGAGGGCCCUGAUGGCUGCCUUAAACAAAUGGCUGAAGCCAAGGCUAAGAGGCCCCCCCAUGUAGCCAGUGGCUGCCCCAACACCUCCCUGGCGGUAGGCGGAGGGAAAUGAAUCUGGGUCAAUAUGCUAAGUCCAGGGACUUGAUUAACAAACGACCUAGAAGGACCAUUUUGAGUAGCUCAUCAUGAGGGCCGCUUUUCUCCUUCCCUCCUCCCUGUCCUGCGUGAUACUUGUCCCAAGUUCCUUUCCUCUCCAUUCCAAUGGAUGGAUAGAAGUGAUCACUAUGUAGCAUGAGAAGCUUCAGUCUCCCAGGGCUGGGCAAGGGGCCAGCAGUCUUUCCUGCUGGUCUGUGAGCUCGUGGAGGACAGACUCUGCCUGCCUGUUCACCGUGUUCCCCAGCACGUGUUCUGGCCAGAGUGGUGGAUGCUCAGAACAUAUUCAUUGACUAAAGGAGCAGAUCACCAGCUGCCACUCUAAUUCUGGCCUUGCAAGAUGGUCUGAUGCAGGCCGGAGAAGGAUCCUUUCCUUCCUCAGCUUGGAGACGACUAGAUUCAAAGGACAACCAGGGCCACACAGCUCCAGCGACUUCAGAAGCUAAAGACAGAAGUCAUGUUAAGCUGGGGGUGAGGGUCCCAAUGACGUGGUGACUGAGGACCCCAGGAUGAGAUGGUGGGGGAAGCAAGGCAUGUGGUCUGAAGUAGCGAAAGGGAGGACUGUCCUGGGUACUGGGAGCAUGGGGUCCUUCAGGAAGAAGGUUGGGACCUACGGGGUAAGGCUCCCAACCAUUCACUGAUGGGGGCUCCCAGGGCCCAUGACUGGUACUCAGGGCAAUACAGCCUGAAGGGAUGCGAGUGACAGGAGAGGAGGACGAGGCGCGGCCUUGCCCACAAGGAGCCGGGAGUUUUGUUGUGGAGAUUAGAUUUACACACAGAGCGAUUAGAGAACAACGCAAGCAGAUCUGUCACUGACUAGAUUGGGAGUUUCCUGUUUGGAGAGAGAGGGUCUUACUCAUUGCAGUGUUUCUUGUCGGGCCUGACAGAGGUCCAGGCACUUUCUCUGCUCCAGAUACACUUGAUGAUCAGCUGUCGCAUUGGAUGGUGUGAAAAGUCAAUGGUCCAGAUUAGAAAAGGGAGGAAUCUGGAGGCCGAGAUGUGGGAGAAGGCUUCAAGAGAGAGGAGGAGCUGUGGUGGCUGCUAAUAAACGCCCAGGGAAAAGUGUUCCCCACUACCUUGUCAAGGCUUUCAUGGCAUGAGAAACUGUGAGCCACUUAGAUGAAGGUUUCUGUCACUUGUAACUGAAAAAUUCCUGGCUCAUAUGCCCAGCUGGUGAGUGAUAUCGUGAGCCAGAUCCUGGACCUCCUCAUCCAUCAUCCAUCCAUCGAUCAUCCAUCCAUCUAUCCAAACUUCCAUCCAUCCAUCUAUCCACCCACCCAUCCAUCCAUCUAUCCAUCCAUCCAUCUACCCAUUCAUCCAUCCAUCCAUCCAAUAUACAUACAUUUAAUGAAUAAAGCAGUUGCUCAAUACAUAGUUUUGAAUGAAUUGAUGAAUAGCUAAUUUGUCAUGAUGUAUUUGAUGACAAAGAUACAUCCACCUCCCUUUAAUCCUGGUGGAGAUUGGUCAACAAAGGGCAAACCAAGUUCCGAACUCAUAACUUGGAACUCAGUCAAGGACUCAGCCUCCAAGGCAAUACUGAGUUUCAUCAGUAUCAUCAGCACACAGCCAGACGUGACCCUUGCUUUGCUAAACGUGAUUCAGUCAUGCUGGUGCCACAGCCCAAAAAGGAGGGUCCAGAACGUCAUUGACAAGUAUGUGGGUUUUCCUGUUGAAGCCAAUGCCAAUACUGUGAGCUCUGCCGUGAAAUAAGUGUGAGUUGUCAAGGAAGACUUAUUUGCUCUACCCUCGUUUUCGCUCCUUGUACCACAGUGGCCGUGUUAAAUGCAGAGCUGCCUGAGAACCAUGGAGACAAGUGCCACCUCUUUCAGGAUGACUUUGUAACCACCCACGAGUCAGAGCACAUACGAGUAAACCAGUCAUCUCUCUCAAACUCUUGCUUUUCCAAUGAAAACUGCAACUCACAGAGCAGAAAGGAUGUGCCCAACGAUACAUAGAGAAUUACAAGGAGAGACGAGAUCCAGAUUCUGGACUCCUAAUCUGGUGCUUUUCCUACUAUGCCACUCUCCCUCCUUGAGCCACUUUCCAAAACAGGUGGAGUUUGUUUCAAAGGACUCCUUUCCUCUUUGAUCAGUUACUGGUAUUGGUAGGUCGGGGAAUACUGCAGGCACCAGACUGCGUUUCAAAGACAUUCUUCACAUUGUCUGCCAUCAUCUGCUUGUGGGCCACGUGGCACAAUAAGGAUGCAUGGACAGAGUAGUCACAGAAUUGGUGGGAGGUGACCUUAAAAGUUACCUUGCCCCUCCUGAUGUUUAGAUUCCCUCUACAGCACCUGGUGAUACACUUGUCAGACUUGCAGGUGGCAGAGAAUGGGGUAAAAAGAGCUGACCUCUCGGUGCCCUCUCUCUCCUGACUCCUCCAGGACAUAAAUCCAUCUAUUGCCUCUUCUCUCACUUUCCAACAUCUUCAGGCUCUUCCUUCACUCUUUCCUCUGGGUCAGCAAAUAUUUUGGGUCUCCUUCUCUUAAAGCAAAUAAACCCGUAAAAAACCAAUGAUUCUUUUUUCCAUUUUGCUGCGUGCCUAGCAACCUUCUUACCUUUUUCUUUUCCCUCACCUAAUUUCUUGACUCAUUGAAGCCUGCUGUCCACACUUCUUCAUGAUCCAGCCAUUCCUGAACUUUUGGGAGCCUGUCUUCUCUCAGAAGUCACCAAAGACCUCCUAAUUAUGAAAUCGGGUGUCUUUUUUUCAGCCUUAAAUUUUCUUGUUUCCUUUGUAUUAUUUGAGAUGUUGGUCACCUGGUACUCGAUCUCUCUUGAUAGGAGGGGUGUUGCCCUGAUUCUCUUUCUUCCCCUUGGGCCUCACUUCUGAUUGUAUCUCUGUUUUCACUUCCUUGUCUCACUUGUUUUAAGUAUCUCCCCUGGAGACCUUGUCCAUCCAUUGAUGGCUCUGCCCAUUCAACACCUAAUAGGGUGCAAGGUAUUGUGCCAGGAACUGGAGAUUCAGAAGUAACUCACAAGCGUUCUUGACCUCAGUGAGCUUAUUUUCUAUUGACAGAGCUAGAUAAGUUCAUCUCAACAUCGUGUGAUGACGAAUAAUGGAGCAAAUACUUCACAGAUUCAAGGAAAUGAACUGAGAGCAGAAAAGGACCUUGAAGAUCACCUUGUCCAAUUCUCACAUUUUACAGAAGAGGAAACUGAGGCAUAGCGAGAGGAAGCCGGUUGCCCAUAGUCCUACAGAGAGUUGGUAGCAUAGCUAAGAGUGGACCUGAUGUCUCUUCAAAUUCAUGCUUGUCAGAGAAUGGCCAAAGAUGACUUUUCUAGCAAAGUAGGAAGUUAUUGGGAUGCAAAAGAGUAUUUGGAGUCUGCUCAGAGAUACAAAUGCAAAUUUCGCUGAGUUCUUUCUGCAACCAAAGACACAUCUUUGGAACUUGUAUUUCCUUCAAAUACUCCUGCAAAAAGUCAUAUCGUAGAGAUCCUAGAAUUGGAGCUUCUUUAUGGAAAAGAAGAAAAACAAUACUUACUGAACACUUAAUAUGAGUUAUAAAACUGAGGCCCAGAAGUUAAGUGACUCAUGUCAAUCUUGAAACAAAACCAGGAUUGGAACUCAGAUUUCCUGUCCCUAGUCUAUUGUUCUCUUCAUGAGGUCAAGAGCCAUAAACUGCCUGAGCUGGAAUUCUGGGCUAUCACCUGCCCAGGGCAGAGAGGCAAAUGCUUGGCUGUGAGCGUUCUGAGUGUGGGAGCCCCUGAAAAUCCACUGUGUGCAUUUGCAUAAGAAGCUACCCUCAUCUUUAUCCCUGGACAGAGCCAGUGACAUGGGCAUGCAAUUGCUGAAGCUGCAUAGAACUCUGUGCAGAGAAGGGCCCUAUCCUUGGUGCUUGGUUUGAUGCUGCCAUCUUGAAAUUUUUAAUACUCUAUGAACAAGGGGCCCACACAUUAUAUAGUCAGUUCUGCUCCAGAUGACAGCUUUUGUUGUUGCUACUCAAAGCACUUCCCAGGUCACUCCUUUGAAUAGUUCACUGCUCUCCCUGACCUUAUGCCCCUAGGAAGGGCUAUUGGAAAGUCUCCUGAAGAUGAGCCAGAACUAGACCACCGGGUACUUCUCUGGACAACUUCCUGGGAGAGUUUAUCCUCCCCGGACAUCACGGAGCUCUAUUCUUCCAGGUCACAGCAGAGUGUAGGAUUCAUCACCUAGCUUCACCAGACUCAAGAAACCAAACCGCCCACUGCUUUAAUCAUCUCCUUCUCUGGUUCAGGAGCCCUUGGCAGCGGCCUGCCUAGAGGAGAGGCCAGCCUCUAUCGCUGGCACCCAAUAUAGUUCCAACCUCCCUUUGCAGCAUUUUCUCUCAGCGUUCGUAUAUACUGAGCCUCUGGUCUGACCACAGUGUCUUCUUUUCCUUCCCUGGGUCCCCCUUCGAUACUCUGGCUUCUGCAUGCUUCCUUUUCCAUCCCAGUGCACGGCCUGAUUCUUCUCACCAGCUGAUAUUCCCUCCGGCUUUCAUGGCCCAGCUGUGGCCCCAUCUCCUUUGCAAAGCAACUUCUCUGACCACAAUUCUAUAUCCUGUUUCCCAACAAGGCUGCGCAGUUCCUGAAGACGGAGCCGGUGUCCACCUCUGUUUUCCUCUUUGGAAGCCACAUGCCCCACAGUGGUCAGUGAGCAGGUGCUGGUGCCUUGGUUCUCACCGGAGGAGAAAAGGCAGGAAAUCCAUUUCCUGGUGAAACUGGGUCACGUGUUUUCAGACCCAGGUUGCCUGCUGUUGGAAGUGAGUCAGUGAGGGCCUCGUCAAACCUGUUUCCCCAGCGGAGACUCCGGGGCCCAGGCCUGUCCCCAGUGCCCGGGGUGACCACAGAUCUCACUGGGGGCUGAGCCUCAAACGUUGGGGGAAGGGAGGCAGCUUCCUGACAAGGGCAGACGUGUAUGGGGAUGCUGGGGGUAGGAUGUCAGCCUCCAGAAGGGGAUGCUUACCGUUUUCUGGCUGAUCAGACUCUCCAGAGGUCGGGCACCACAUGAUUAAAUUAAAUGUAGGAGGUGGAAGGACUACCAGGAAGAGGAAGGAAAUGCCAAAUGGGAAGUGGCUGUAGGAACUACAGGUGAGUAAGUUGAAAAGAAAGCUUGAGAGAAUGUGACCCACAUCUUGAAAAUGGUCAAAGGGCUGCCGUCAACUAGCAGAAGUAGACUCAUUCUGUGCGCUUCCUCAAGGCUGAAGGUGGACCAAGGCAGGGCAGUUACAGGAGGCCGGAGUUCUGCCCACGCAGGCUGUCAGACAAGGAAAGGUCACCAGCAGAGGGAAUAAUAAGCUGGCUCUUCCUCGUUAGGAAUAUCUACAUGAAGUUUCCAACCUCAGCUGAUCCGUCAACUCAGCCCCUCACUUCUGUCUUUCUGCACAGCUCUGUCCCCCCAUUUCUCAAAGCCAUCUUUAAAACCUCAUCUGCGCUCCCUAAUCCUCAGGUCCUACUCUGAUGUAAAUACAUCAACCAUCCUGGUCCCAUCAGCUCGCGAUGGUCUCCUAACCGAUGCCCCAGCCAGCUGCCUAGAUUCCCACCCAUCUGCCUCCAUGUUGCCGGAGUGAGAUUUCUAAAAUACCAAUGUGGAUCUCUUCAGUCCUGCUCAGACCCCUCCAGUGGCUUCCUGGUGUCCUCAUGAAAUGGCUGAAUUCCUUACUGUGACAUUCAAGGCCCUUCAUGGUCUGACCUGGGCAGCCUCAGCCUUGCCCUUUCUCCUUGCACCUUACACACUAGCAAUACUGGAUGCUUUAGAUCUGUGCCCCACCACCCUCACUCCCAUCUCUGGGCCUUUGCAUGUGCUGUUGCCCCUCACCUGGAAGACUCUUCUUUCUUACUACCACCCCCACCCCACCCAUUCCACUCCACCUGGCUCUCUGCUAUUCAUCUGUUAGGUCUCUGGUGCAGUGUCGCGUCUUCCAGGAAACACUGAUGGGUUCCCCAAGUCUGGGUUAGUUUUCCAUGCCAUAGAUUCCCUCUGAAUCCUAUCACUAGCUUUUGGCAUUAGGUGUUGUGUGUGUGUAUCUCGACUAGUUCCUAACACAUGGGAGCUGCUCAAUGUGUAUUUGUUGAAUGAAAGAUUGUCCUUCUUUACAAGAGGCUACAGAAGGGAUUCCCGCUAUGGACCUUUUCCACCUCUGGGACCAUAUUUCCAUAGGACACACGCUUUCCUACCCUCAAGAAGGAUAUGUUACCAUGUGCAACAGGAGCUUCCAAUGUUUACUUCCUGCUUCAAACAGAAAUUCGCUCCAGGCAGCAAUGCAGGGGCGGCAGGAGUCUCCUCAGGGACCGGUACGAAUGGAAUCUGGUUGCACAAUAUGAUUAUAGAAGGAAGACUCACUGGUGGAGUGUUUGGUUUCCACAGCAUCGAGCUCACUCUAGAUACACAGUGGCGAGGGGUGGGGUUGAUUUCCUGCAAGGGACUGUUCAGACGUCCUGCCUCCCUGGGUGUCACCUUACUUCUGUGACUCCUGAAGAACCCGGUGCUGUUGUCUCACUUGGUAGAAAGAACAGGACAUCAAUAGGCAAAAAAAUGAAGCUUGUUCUACAUCUCACAACUUAUACGAGAAUAAACUCCAAAUGGAUCAUAGAUCUAAACGUAAAAUGUAUAACCCUAAGUCUUUUAGAAGGGAAAUAGGAGAAAAUCAUCACAAUCUAAAGUUAGGAGAAGAUUCUUAGACAUCACACCAAAAGCGCAAUCCAUAAAAGAAGAGAAGAAACUGCUUGGACUUCAUUAAAAUUAAAAACUUUUGCUCUGUGAAAGACUCAGUUAAGAGAGAAAAUGCUAAGUACCAUCUGGGAGAAAAUACUUGCAAAUUAUGUCUGACAAAACACUUGUUGUCAGAAUAAAGAGCUCUCUAAACUCAACAGUAAGAAAACAAACAAUCCAAUUAGAAAAUGAGGGGGCCGGCUCCGUGGCCGAGUGGUUAAGUGCGCGCGCUCCGCUGCGGCGGCCCAGGGUUCGGAUCCUGGGCGCGGACAUGGCACUGCUCGUCAGGCCACGUUGAGGCGGCGUCCCACAUCCCACAACUAGAAGGACCUGCAACUCAGAUAUACAACUGUGUAUGGGGUGGCGGGGGUGGUGGUUGGGAAGAUAAAGCAGAAAAAAAAAAAAAAAAAGAUUGGCAACAGUUGUUAGCCCAGGUGCCAAUCUUUAGGGAAAAAAAAGAAAAAAAAAGAAAAUGAGGAAAAGACUUGAACACUUCACGAAAGAAGAUAUACAGAAGGCAAAUAAAUAUGUGAAAAGAUCUCCAACAUCACUAGUUUUUAGGGAAAUGCAAAGUAAAACCACAGUGAGAUACCAUUAUGCACCUAAUAGAACGGCUAAAAUAAAAAUACUGAUAAAGCCAGUGCUGGCAAGGAUGUGGAGAAACUGGACCUUGCACAUGGUCUUGGUGGGCACAUAAAAUGGUACAGCCACUCUGGAAAUCUGUCUGGCAACUUCUCAAAAAGUUAAACACAUACUUGCUGUAUGAUCCAUGAAUCUCAAUCCUGGGCAUUUAAGUCAGAGAAAUGAAAACUUACAUUUACACGAAACGUUCACAGCACAGUUCACACAAAAUGUCCUGUACACAAAUGUCCACAGCAGCUCUAUUUGCAGUAGCCUGAAACUGGAAACAACCCAAGUGUCCUUCAGUAGGUGGAGGUCAGACAAACCAUGGUACUUCCAUACCGUGGAACACUACCCAGAAAUAAACAGGAAUGAAUUAUCGAUACGUGCGACAAUUUGGACGUAUCUUAAGGGUGUUAUGCUAAGUGAAAAAAUUUGUGAUACAUUACUUGUGAUAAUUUUAUUUGUGAUACAUUCUCAAAUUGACAAAAAUAUAGAGGUGAAGAAGAGAUAAGUGGUGCCAAUGGCUUGGG